rnacentral:rRNA from 1 species
AGCUUGCUCUUCGAUUCAGCGGCGGACGGGUGAGUAAUGCCUAGGAAUCUGCCUGGUAGUGGGGGACAACGUUUCGAAAGGAACGCUAAUACCGCAUACGUCCUACGGGAGAAAGCAGGGGACCUUCGGGCCUUGCGCUAUCAGAUGAGCCUAGGUCGGAUUAGCUAGUUGGUGAGGUAAUGGCUCACCAAGGCGACGAUCCGUAACUGGUCUGAGAGGAUGAUCAGUCACACUGGAACUGAGACACGGUCCAGACUCCUACGGGAGGCAGCAGUGGGGAAUAUUGGACAAUGGGCGAAAGCCUGAUCCAGCCAUGCCGCGUGUGUGAAGAAGGUCUUCGGAUUGUAAAGCACUUUAAGUUGGGAGGAAGGGCAGUAAGAUAAUACCUUGCUGUUUUGACGUUACCGACAGAAUAAGCACCGGCUAACUCUGUGCCAGCAGCCGCGGUAAUACAGAGGGUGCAAGCGUUAAUCGGAAUUACUGGGCGUAAAGCGCGCGUAGGUGGUUUGUUAAGUUGGAUGUGAAAGCCCCGGGCUCAACCUGGGAACUGCAUCCAAAACUGGCAAGCUAGAGUACGGUAGAGGGUGGUGGAAUUUCCUGUGUAGCGGUGAAAUGCGUAGAUAUAGGAAGGAACACCAGUGGCGAAG